GCGAAAGUGGCGAAAUUGGUAGACGCCCUGGACUUAGGAUCCAGUGCCUUCGGGCGUGGGGGUUCAACUCCCCCCUUUCGCACCA
rnacentral:tRNA from 1 species